rnacentral:rRNA from 1 species
GAUGAACGCUGGCGGCGUGCCUAAUACAUGCAAGUCGAGCGAACAGAUAAGGAGCUUGCUCCUUUGACGUUAGCGGCGGACGGGUGAGUAACACGUGGAUAACCUACCUAUAAGACUGGGAUAACUUCGGGAAACCGGAGCUAAUACCGGAUAACAUAUUGAACCGCAUGGUUCAAUAGUGAAAGGCGGCUUUGCUGUCACUUAUAGAUGGAUCCGCGCCGUAUUAGCUAGUUGGUAAGGUAACGGCUUACCAAGGCAACGAUACGUAGCCGACCUGAGAGGGUGAUCGGCCACACUGGAACUGAGACACGGUCCAGACUCCUACGGGAGGCAGCAGUAGGGAAUCUUCCGCAAUGGGCGAAAGCCUGACGGAGCAACGCCGCGUGAGUGAUGAAGGUCUUCGGAUCGUAAAACUCUGUUAUCAGGGAAGAACAAAUGUGUAAUUAACUGUGCACAUCUUGACGGUACCUGAUCAGAAAGCCACGGCUAACUACGUG